AACUGGGCAGAGGGAUCCUCCUCCUGGCAUCGCUGCUUCACCCUGUGAAGUGUCACCUGAGCCUCAGAAGAACCAGGGGAGUUGCCAAGCCGGGCCAGGGAAGGAGCAGCCAGACAGGGGGCAGCAUCUGACCGCCCAGCGGCGAGCCCCGGCCGCGCCCCGGGACAGCUCCGCGGCGGCUCCGGCUGGGGCGCGGCAGGCUGCGGAGCCAACAAGCCAGAGGCAGCCGCUCGGAGCUUCGGGGAGCGCAGGGAAGAAGUGUUGCUCCUUUUCGCUACGCCGCGGGAGCUGCUGUGUUGGGGGUGGAUCUCAGUACCGGCAGCUCCGCGGAUGAAGUUACUUACGGAGAGAGCAAAGUGUUCUGCAGAAGGAGACCUGCUGCUGCGGCUGCUGCAGCCGUGGGUGCUGAAGCAAGGAGUGGGGGCAACGAACAGAGCGCCUGCGGGGGAGCUUUUCUGCAGCAUCACCUUGUGCAGAGAGCUGAGGUUUGUGGUGGCAGCUCAAAG